AUUGAACGCUGGCGGCAGGCCUAACACAUGCAAGUCGAGGGGUAGAAGUUGCUUGCAACUUUGAGACCGGCGCACGGGUGCGUAACGCGUAUGCAAUCUACCUUAUACAGAGGGAUAGCCCAGAGAAAUUUGGAUUAAUACCUCAUAGUAUAAUUGAAUGGCAUAAUUUAAUUAUUAAAGUUCCAACGGUAUAAGAUGAGCAUGCGUCCUAUUAGCUAGAUGGUAAGGUAACGGCUUACCAUGGCAACGAUAGGUAGGGGUCCUGAGAGGGAGAUCCCCCGGACAUGUACUGAGACACGGACCAGACUCCUACGGGAGGCAGCAGUGAGGAAUAUUGGACGAGGGGCGCAAGCCUGAUCCAGCCAUGCCGCGUGCAGGAAGAAGCAUCUAUGGUGUGUAAACUGCUUUUGUACGGGAAGAAACACCCCUUCGUGAAGGGACUUGACGGUACCGUAAGAAUAAGGAUCGGCUAACUCCGUGCCAGCCGCCGCGGUAACAC
rnacentral:rRNA from 1 species